GACUACAGGGGUAUCUAAUCCCGUUUGCUCCCCUGGCUUUCGUGCCUCAGCGUCAGUUGCGAUCCAGUGUGCCGCUUUCGCCACCGGCGUUCCUUCCGAUAUCAACACAUUUCACCGCUCCACCGGAAGUUCCACACACCCCUAUCUCACUCCAGCCAUGCAGUUUAGAGCGCCAUUCCCCGGUUAAGCCGGGGGCUUUCACACCCUACUUACAUGGCCGCCUACGCACCCUUUAAGCCCAGUGAUUCCGAAUAACGUUUGCACAGUUCGUAUUACCGCGGCUGCUGGCACGAACUUAGCCCGUGCUUCCUCUGAGGCUAUGUCAAACGGAUGGGAGAACCCACCCGCAUUUCAUCCCCUCUGACAGUGGUUUACAACCCAAGGGCCUUCAUCCCACACGCGGCGUCGCUCGGUCAGGCUUGCGCCCAUUGCCGAAGAUUCUCGACUGCAGCCCCCCGUAGG
rnacentral:rRNA from 1 species